rnacentral:ncRNA from 15 species
GGUCUAUUAGCUUAGUUGGUUAGAGCAUCAUGCUAAUAACGCGAAGGUCGCAAGUUCGAGACUUGCAUGAGCCA